GUCAGCUCUAUAGGCUAGACUAUAGUCAGCUCUAUAGGCUAGACUAUAGUCAGCUCUAUAGGCUAGACCAUAGUCAGCUCUAUGGGCUAGACUAUAGUCAGCUCUAUAGGCUAGACUAUAGUCAGCUCUAUAGGCUAGGUUAUACUCAGCUCUAUAGGCUAGACUAUAGUCAGCUCUAUAGUCUAGACUAUAGUCAGCUCUAUAGUCUAGACUAUAGUCAGCUCUAUAUUAUAGUCAGCUCUAUAGUCUAUACUAUAGUCAGCUCUAUAUUAUAGUCAGCUCUAUAGUCUAGACUAUAGUCAGCUCUAUAGCUUAGACUAUAGUCAGCUCUAUAGCUUAGACUAUAGUCUAGACUAUAGUCAGCUCUAUAUAAAACUUUCGAGUUAAAAAUUACGUUUAGAAGUCACAUACAUAUGAGGAGUCGUUCCAUUCUACUCCUGUGAUUAAAAUAAAAAGUCGAUAGUCUGUGUAGGAAUUUUUCAUCAAAUUCGUAUUUUCUCAUGAUUGAUUUUCUCAUGUUGAAUAUCUUUCGCUCUAGAACUAGGUAUAAAAUAAAAGAAUUUUCUACCUGUUGUACAUUUAAAGGUUUAACUAAUAAAUAUGUUUAUAUUAUUUUAUGGGUAUUUCCCAUUCAGUUUGAAAUUUUCAUUCAAAAAACCCAUAACAGAUAAAUAUCAAAUUGGUUGUCAUCUAAUAAGUCGCAACUUCACACAUUUGCCACAUGUGGGUUAAUUUUCCCCAUUGCUGAUAUUUGAAACAUUGUUAAAAACCACUUUAAAAUUUCCUAAAUAUUGUAGUCAUAUGUAUACAAUUUCAAAAAUGUCUUUUCCCGCUUUUCAUAUUUUGUAACAAACAAAGACCGCUCAACUUAUUUUGACCCUUUAUGCCUCAAAUUACUUAUAAAGUGUCAAAACACUUUUUAAAUUGUAAGGGCAAUAACCUAAAAUAAAGCAAAAGCACAAUUUACUUGCACUCUAUAGUUUCUUAAAUUUUAUUCUGGUUUUAAUUUACAUAUAUUGUGAGCCAUUAUUUUAAAAUUAUGAUCUAUAAAUUUUAGGCAUUUUUGACAAACACAACAAUUAAAGCCUUUGUUUAUAAUUUGCAGUGAAUGUUUCCAGUCGGCAAAUAAAUUACACAUAUAUGUAUAACAUAUGUACAAUGUAUAUAUGUACAUACACAUGUAUAUAUUUGCUCAAAUAAGCGAUUUACGCGAUUUAAGUUUUAAUUAAAAUAACAAGAAGAAAAUUUGAUAUUUUAAGGACUACGUGUAACUUAAUAUGGACCACAAUGCAUAGGCAUUAUUGCUCCGUGUAGAUCAACAAGAGCGCCAUCUACUCAUCUACUCUGCUCAAAAGAGCAGAAACUUUUGCCGUUUCCGAUGAGAAAAGGGUACAAAACAAAUUUAUCUUUAGAACCGAUAAAUUGGGCACACUACAAGUUUUAUCGCCACGUUUACAAGAACUAGAGGUAAUUAAUAGAGAAACCAAAAAACGCUUAAAUAAUAUACACACUUCUAGCAAUGACUGAUGGGAUAAAGGACUCCCAAAAUGCGAUACAAUAGACCCUAAAGGUACUGAUUUAGUUCAACUACAAGUUACCCACAAUCUACCACACUCUAUAUCUUUGCAGGAAGUUAUUAAACAGCAGCAUAGGCAAAAUGGAAGUGGUGUCAAGUCUACUCAUUUCACCCAAAUGUUCCAUUCAACAUUUCCAGACAACUUUUACAAAGCUCGAUUUGGAUAAUGAUGUACAUGAUUCGAAUAGUGGGGCUAAUAGGCUCUUUCAAGAUAAUUGCUCAAAAAACUCAAGCUAAUCUGGUAGGACAAAAAAUAUCCAUGAAAGUGUCAUACCUAUCAUUUACCACAUGAUAGGUUUACCGAAUAAAGUCCAUAAAUCCAAUAGUUUUUACGCCAUUCUUGCUUCUGCUCAGCUGCAGCCUGAAAUUGACCUAACAAUUCCUCAAUGCUCAUAGCCCUCUCAACUAAUACCACGACAUUCACGCACUGACAGUUCUCCAGCCAUUAUACAGCAUCCAUAACCUCGCUCACUCCACUCUUCUCGGCAGGAGUAACACACACAGAUGCCUCAGCCACUUUUACAUAUGAUCAACGUUAUUAUUUACCUUUAGCCAACGCUCCAGUCACCUCUACUCCCACCUUCUGUCGCAUAAUUUCCUAUACUUCACAGGCACAAACUAUAAUAUGCUAAAUGUCACAGCAUCAGAAACAUCACAUGUCAAAUGUUACAGCAUCAUAUGUUAAGUAUAACAGCAUCAGCUACAGCAUGCACAUCAUCAUUCUCAUCCUCUACAAAUCCAGUAAUUUGUUCUCAUUAUUAACAUCAAAUCAUCCAAAUGUUCUAAUCAAGUUCGAGGAAUAAGAAAUUUAGUUUUGACGUAAGUUUUGCUAAAGAAGUUCAAUAACAACUUCUCAAAAUACUAAGAAGUGCUUAAUUGAUAUGUUUAUAUACAUAAAUAUCAUAAGUUAUAAAUCAUAUACAUAUGUAUGUAUGGACUCGUAUUCCAUUAAAAAUAUUCUUGAAAACGUCAUUUGAAUGCAUGGUUAAAGUUAUUAUAUUCUCAUCAUCGUUUCCAUCUGCUUCGAUUGGAAAAUUGUUGUCGACUAAUUGGAAUUUGUGUGUAUAGGUAUUGUUACCGAUCGAUAAUUUUUGAAUUGAUGGUUCCCAUUGAGUAAAUUUCUUCUUUUGAAAUACCCGUUAGUUUGUAUUUCUCAUCAGUGCAGUAUUCUUCGUUAUUAAGU